CCUACGGGCGGCAGCAGUGGGGAAUAUUGCGCAAUGGGGGAAACCCUGACGCAGCAACGCCGCGUGAAGGAAGAAGGCCUUCGGGUUGUAAACUUCUUUGAUCGGGGACGAAAAUGACGGUACCCGAGGAACAAGCCACGGCUAACUACGUGCCAGCAGCCGCGGUAAUACGUAGGUGGCAAGCGUUGUCCGGAAUUACUGGGCGUAAAGGGCGUGUAGGCGGGAUGGCAAGUCAGAUGUGAAAGCCCGGGGCUUAACUCCGGAACUGCAUCUGAAACUGCUUAUCUUGAGUGCAGGAGAGGGAAGCGGAGUUCCUAGUGUAGCGGUGAAAUGCGUAGAUAUUAGGAGGAACACCAGUGGCGAAGGCGGCUUCCUGGACUGUAACUGACGCUGAGGCGCGAAAGCGUGGGUAGCGAACAGGAUUAGAUACCCUAGUAGUC
rnacentral:rRNA from 1 species